CUGAUCCGACCGAUCCAUCAGAAACCCUAACGCCAUUCCGCCCCAGCACCUCUCUCGCUCGUCCGUUCCUCUCUCGCCCGCCUGCUCGGUUCCGGUGCGCGAGCCACCGCCGGCGCAGCGAGCCAGGGCGGCACUGGAAGGAGUACAAGAUGGAGCUAGCAAACACGUUUAUGAGCAAGGAUCCCUGUGGUGGAGCCGCUCGUGGCGCAGAGGGCGACGGUCUUCGCGGGCAACGACCAGCAGUGUGGGAGGCCACAAGAUAGCCUCUACUCCGAUGCUUCCACCCCCGCCAUGUAUCCUCCGUACGGGACGACAAAAUCGCCCCCGGCCCUUGCGGCAAUAUCCUUGUCAAAAUAUAAAACACAUCGGUGCUGUCGCCAUGCUAAGAAAAUCA